rnacentral:lncRNA from 1 species
CCAGAAUAAACCAGACUUGCCUCCUUGGAUCUGCAUAGCACAACAGUCCAGAGAUCUUAAACAUGAAGAGUUUCUCCUGAGAACUCAGGGUCACAGUCAAGGAGAGAGAGAGAAGGCCUGUGAAUUCACUGGGAUCGUCUGAAAGCAGCAUUGGUCCUGUCCCGCUGGAAGCCUUGGUCUACAGCUGUCCCAUACAUGACCUUCACUGAACACCCAGCCAAGAAUUGCAGUGAAAGGUUCAGCACUGCCUGCCAGGGAGGCAGUGGUCAAACCGGUGCGAAGCAAACCUGCCACCAGCAAGGCAGAGGAUAACCUACA